rnacentral:misc_RNA from 1 species
UGGUGUUGAAUAGAUUCUUAUGUAGUCUUGGACCUAUAGGAUCCUUCUUGUGUGCAUCGUGCCAAUCAGCAGGAAGAAAAUCGGGAACUUCUGCAGAAGCUCUGAUGCGAGAAUUCAUGGAAACGAUCACAGGUUUAUUGACAGAACUCGUGAAUUUGCGGUUGGUAAUCAAAGACAUGGAUGUAGGAGCCGCUGAUAAGGACGAACAACAUGACAUCCUCUUCCACCGGAGAAAAAUAGCCACAGCAGAAUCGGCCAGCACCGGCAGACGGCUGAAGACGGCGGCUGGAGUGACGGCGAACGGAGCGGCGCGAACGAAACCCACGAACUGGUGCGGAUGAAGGUCUG